rnacentral:rRNA from 1 species
CCUACGGGGUGCAGCAGUGGGGAAUAUUGGACAAUGGGCGAAAGCCUGAUCCAGCCAUGCCGCGUGUGUGAAGAAGGCCUUCGGGUUGUAAAGCACUUUCAGUGGGGAAGAAAGCCUUGGGGCUAAUACCCUCGAGGAAGGACAUCACCCACAGAAGAAGCACCGGCUAACUCCGUGCCAGCAGCCGCGGUAAUACGGAGGGUGCGAGCGUUAAUCGGAAUUACUGGGCGUAAAGCGCGCGUAGGCGGUCUGAUAAGCCGGUUGUGAAAGCCCCGGGCUCAACCUGGGAACGGCAUCCGGAACUGUCAGGAUAGAGUGCAGGAGAGGAAGGUAGAAUUCCCGGUGUAGCGGUGAAAUGCGUAGAGAUCGGGAGGAAUACCAGUGGCGAAGGCGGCCUUCUGGACUGACACUGACGCUGAGGUGCGAAAGCGUGGGUAGCAAACAGGAUUAGAUACCCGAGUAGUC